GACGAACGCUGGCGGCGUGCUUAACACAUGCAAGUCGAACGGAAAGGCCCUGCUUUUGUGGGGUGCUCGAGUGGCGAACGGGUGCGUAACACGUGAGUAACCUGCCCUUGACUUUGGGAUAACUUCAGGAAACUGGGGCUAAUACCGGAUAGGAGCUCCUGCUGCAUGGUGGGGGUUGGAAAGUUUCGGCGGUUGGGGAUGGACUCGCGGCUUAUCAGCUUGUUGGUGGGGUAGUGGCUUACCAAGGCUUUGACGGGUAGCCGGCCUGAGAGGGUGACCGGCCACAUUGGGACUGAGAUACGGCCCAGACUCCUACGGGAGGCAGCAGUGGGGAAUAUUGCACAAUGGGCGGAAGCCUGAUGCAGCAACGCCGCGUGCGGGAUGACGGCCUUCGGGUUGUAAACCGCUUUCGCCUGUGACGAGGCGUGAGUGACGGUAAUGGGUAAAGAAGCACCGGCUAACUACGUG
rnacentral:rRNA from 1 species